GGCGGCGCGCUUAACACAUGCAAGUCGCACGAGAAAGGGAGCAAUCCUAAGUAAAGUGGCGCACGGGUGAGUAACACGUGGAUCAUCUACCUUUUAGUGGGGAAUACCUCUGGGAAACCGGAGACAAUACCGCAUAAGCCCGCAAGGGGAAAGCAGCAAUGCGCUGAAAGAGGAGUCCGCGGCCGAUUAGCUAGUUGGCGGGGUAAUGGCCCACCAAGGCGAAGAUCGGUAGCCGGCCUGAGAGGGCACACGGCCACACUGGCACUGAAACACGGGCCAGACUCCUACGGGAGGCAGCAGUGGGGAAUCUUGCACAAUGGACGAAAGUCUGAUGCAGCGACGCCGCGUGAGCGAUGAAGCCCUUCGGGGUGUAAAGCUCUUUCGACGGGAACGAUAAUGACGGUACCCGGAGAAGAAGCUGCGGCUAACUACGUGCCAGCAGCCGCGGUAAUACGUAGGCAGCGAGCGUUGUUCAGAAUUACUGGGCGUAAAGAGUGUGUAGGCGGUGUUCCCAGUCUGUUGUGAAAUCUCCCGGCUUAACUGGGA
rnacentral:rRNA from 1 species